rnacentral:pre_miRNA from 1 species
GCUGGGAAGGGGAAGAAAGAGAGCUCAAGAGCACUAGGAAUGGGAACAUGGAGGAAAGCCCUGCUUGUUUGUUUGCACCUCUAGUCUUAGGGAUGCAAAUAUUUGGCAUAGAUCUUUUCCUGAUGCCUCCCAUUCCCGUCGUUCCUGUGCACUCCUUCCUCUUCCCUUAGGAU